CCUCGUUCCUCUCGCACCUGAGGAGAGAGCAGACGCAUCACUCGCGCUCGAAGCCUCAUGCCUCCCCGACGCCCUUGCCUCGCGCUGGCAAGUGACCUCGCCGGAGUGCCCUGCCAGAGUAACAGCCACACCAGGGACCCUCGUGCCCUUCUCCUUCCCUGCUCUCCCUCUCUCUCGGCUUCCCUCCCCCAUUUUCUUCUCUCAAUUCUCUCUGUCUGUCUUUCUUCAGGUCUCAUUAGCCGCCAUGGACGUCGUCGCGCGGACCUGCCUCCGUUCCUGCGACCACGCUUCGGUCAGCAGCAGAGCAGGCAUGGCCGUCACCGUAGAACUCGAAGCCGCACGCCGCCGCUGAAGCUCCUCCGCCAUGGACGCCGGGCCUCAAGGCCGU